GCAGGCUGCAACUCGCCUGCAUGAAGUCGGAAUUGCUAGUAAUGGCAGGUCAGCAUACUGCCGUGAAUACGUUCCCGGGCCUUGUACACACCGCCCGUCACACCAUGAGAGUUGGGAAUACCCGAAGCCUGUGAGCUAACGUUAAGAGGCAGCAGUCGAAGGUAGAAUCAAUGAUUGGGGUGAAGUCGUAACAAGGUACC
rnacentral:rRNA from 1 species